rnacentral:rRNA from 1 species
GACGAACGCUGGCGGCGUGCUUAACACAUGCAAGUCGAACGGAAAGGCCCUGCUUUUGUGGGGUGCUCGAGUGGCGAUCGGGUGAGUAACACGUGAGUAACCUGCCCCUGACUUUGGGAUAACUUCAGGAAACUGGGGCUAAUACCGGAUAGGAGCUCCUGCUGCAUGGUGGGGGCUGGAAAGUUUCGGCGGUUGGGGCUGGACUCGCGGCUUAUCAGCUUGCUGGUGGGGUAGUGGCUUACCAAGGCUUUGACGGGUAGCCGGCCUGAGAGGGUGACCGGCCACAUUGGGACUGAGGUACGGCCCGGACUCCUACGGGAGGCAGCGGUGGGGAAUAUUGCACAAUGGGCGGAGGCCUGAUGCAGCAACGCCGCGUGCGGGAUGACGGCCUUCGGGUUGUAAACCGCUUGCGCCGGGGACGAAGCGUGAGUGACGGUAAUGGGUAAAGAAGCACCGGCUAGCUACGUG